rnacentral:misc_RNA from 1 species
AGUCGUAACAAGUUCCGAUGGAGAGCCUGCGGAAGGAUCAUUAAACGAGGCAUGGUAUCAGGAUCAGUUUCAUGAUCAACUGCAUUAACCCAUUCCGAGUACCUUGCCUGUUGCUUCCAUGGGGCCUGACCUAGGUCACUCUUGUGAUGUGAAACCCAAGAGAGUCCCCAUGGGAGGUAAUCAUUAAAUUCAUGUAUCCAAUGUCUUCUGUCUGAACUGUUUAUAACAAAUGUUAAAA